rnacentral:rRNA from 1 species
AUUGAACGCUGGCGGCAGGCCUAACACAUGCAAGUCGAACGAGUGGCGGACGGGUGAGUAAUGUCUGGGAAACUGCCCGAGGGAGGGGGAUAACUACUGGAAACGGUAGCUAAUACCGCAUACCAUCGGAUGUGCCCAGAUGGGAUUAGCUAUUAGGUGGGGUAACGGCUCACCUAGGCGACGAUCCCUAGCUGAUUUGAGCGGAUAACCAGCCACACUGGAACUGAGACACGGUCAAGACUCGUACGGGAGGCAGCAGUGGGAAAUAUUGCACAAUGGGCGCAAGCCUGAUGCAGCGAUGCCGCGUGUAUGAAGAAGGCCUUCGGGUUGUAAAGUACUUGCAGCGAGGAGGCGUUACUCGCAGAAGAAGCACCGGCUAACUCCGUGCCAGCGGCCGCGGUAAUAC